UUUGGCCCGGUAGCUCAGUCGGUAGAGCAGAGGAUUGAAAAUCCUUGUGUCGGCGGUUCGAUUCCGUCCCAGGCCA
rnacentral:tRNA from 1 species